rnacentral:rRNA from 1 species
UACGUAGGGGGCAAGCGUUGUCCGGAAUCAUUGGGCGUAAAGAGCGUGUAGGCGGCCUGGUAAGUCCGCUGUGAAAGUCCAGGGCUCAACCCUGGAAUGCCGGUGGAAACUGUCAGGCUCGAGUCCGGAAGAGGCGAGUGGAAUUCCUGGUGUAGCGGUGAAAUGCGCAGAUAUCAGGAGGAACACCAAUGGCGAAGGCAGCUCGCUGGGACGGUACUGACGCUGAGGAGCAAAAGCGUGGGGAGCGAACAGG